CCCUGCCUAUGGCAUGCGGAGGAAAAGAAACCAACAGGGAUUGCCCUAGUAACGGCGAGUGAAGCGGCAACAGCUCAAAUUUGAAAGCUGGCUCCGGCCCGCAUUGUAAUUUGCAGAGGAUGCUUCUGGUGAGGUGCCUUCCGAGUUCCCUGGAACGGGACGCCAUAGAGGGUGAGAGCCCCGUAUGGAUGGACACCAAACCUGUGUGAAGCUCCUUCAACGAGUCGAGUAGUUUGGGAAUGCUGCUCUAAAUGGGAGGUAAAUCUCUUCUAAAGCUAAAUACCGGCCAGAGACCGAUAGCGCACAAGUAGAGUGAUCGAAAGAUGAAAAGCACCUUGAAAAGGGGGUUAAACAGUACGUGAAAUUGUUGAAAGGGAAGCGCUUGUGACCAGACUUGCGCCGGGCAGCUCAUCAGGGGUUCUCCCCUGUGCACUCUGCCCGGCUCAGGCCAGCAUCGGUUCUCGUGGGAGGAUAAGAACGGUAGGAACGUGGCCCCCUUCCGGGGGGGUGUUAUAGCCUACCGUACGAUACUCCCGUGGGGACCGAGGUUCGCGCUCCGCAAGGAUGCUGGCGUAAUGGUCAUCAGCGACCCGUCUGAAACCUGACACACAAAGA
rnacentral:rRNA from 1 species